CCUGCGCAGUCAGUUAAGCAGAGUCCACUGGCGAAAGUAGUGGGGCUGCCCAGGAGAAAGAUGGCCGCCACCAGCGAGGAACCGAGUGUUAUGGAGCCUUCUCAGACGAAUUCUGGGCAAAGUCAAUCCGUCGAUCCGCUAAAGAUGCUUUAUCCGAUGGUAAACGAAGAGGAAACGCCGCUGCCACGCUCGUGGAGCCCCAAGGACAAGUACAAUUACAUCGGCCUCUCCCAAAACAAUCUUCGUGUUCACUACAAAGGUUAUGGAAAAACUCACAAAGAUGCUGCGAGUGUCCGUACAACACAUUGCAUACCAGCAGCUUGUGGUCUCUAUUAUUUUGAAGUGAAGAUCGUUAGUAAAGGCAGAGAUGGUUACAUGGGAAUUGGCCUGUCUGCCCAUGGAGUGAAUGUGAACAGGUUGCCAGGCUGGGACAAACACUCCUAUGGGUAUCACGGAGAUGAUGGGCAUAGUUUCUGUUCUUCUGGAACAGGACAACCUUAUGGGCCCACAUUCACCACAGGAGAUGUAAUUGGAUGUGGUGUAAAUCUUGUCGACAACACUGCCUUCUAUACGAAAAAUGGACAUCAUCUUGGUAUUGCCUUCACUGAUCUUCCGCCAAAUUUAUAUCCAACUGUGGGUCUUCAAACGCCAGGGGAGGUAGUUGAUGCAAACUUUGGACAGGAACCAUUUGUUUUUGAUAUCGACGACAUGCUUAACGAACUUCGGGUUAAAACAAGAUUGCAAAUUAUAAACUAUCCCACGCCAGAUCACGGUCAGGGUCAGUGGCAAGCAGUCCUUCACAAAAUGGUGUCAACAUAUUUGGUCCAUCACGGAUACUGUGCCACUGCCGAAGCAUUUGCCAAUAGUACUGGUCAAGGAUUUGAAGAAGAUCUUAAUUCCAUUAAAAAUAGACAAAAAAUUCUAAAGUUGGUACUGGCGGGUAGAAUGGGAGAAGCAAUAGAGUUAACCAGUCGACUGUAUCCAGGUCUUCUGGAACGGGAUCCCAAUCUUCUCUUCGCCCUCAAAUGUCGACAAUUCGUUGAAAUGGUGAACGGUAGUGAUUCCGAAAUCACUCAAAAUUCCAAUGUCAAUCAAACUAGUGUUAUACAAUCUACGAAGGCUUACACCAAAUCUUCAGCAAACGGCAACGUCGAGGAGAUGAACAUGAACAACGCCAUGAAUGGUUCCACCGAACAGCAAUUGGUUAAUGGACAACUUGAAAACGAUGUAGAUAUGGAAGAGAAUGUUAUAAACGGCAUGAAAAGUAAUACCGAAAACAGUUAUCAAAACGGUGACUUGAGUACCAACGGGUAUAAAUGUCAGAACGGGGAAGAUGUCGACAUGGAGACCAACAAUGUCAAUCAAAUUCAGCAACAACAGAACGGUAAUUGCAAUAUGGAGAACACAUCGAAUAGGAAUAACAAGAAACAGCUUUGCGGCGGGGAUAAGCAGGCAAUCGAGAAGAUGUUGGAAUUCGGGAGGCAGUUAUAUUCUCAGUCGAUACAUCUGCGACAACAACACGGAAAGAACGAAAGCAAUAAAAAGAUGCUUCAAGAUGCGUUCAGUCUUCUAGCAUAUGCAAAUCCAUGGAAUUCACCGGUAGGUUGGCAACUCGAUCCUCAACAGAGGGAGACCGUUUGUGCGAGACUUAAUUCUGCCAUACUCGAAUCGAGUAAUUUGCCACGACGGCCACCGUUGGAAGUGGCCACCUCUCAUGCAAGAGAAUUGGUACGGUUAAUGUCUCACGCUGGUCUUGGAGCAUGCGGCUUCGCGGUCGUAGAUAAUAUCAUUCAAUAUUGACGGUGCCUACCCCUGCUGCCACGUCUGCUUCUUCUGCCGACUCGAGUUUGCCAAAAAUCUUCGUGAAAAAAUUAAUCCGACCGUGGGUAAAGAUAUAAUAGUUCCACAGACGAGUCUGUGAUAAUUCAAUGAUGUCGACCGAGCUCUGUGGCACGAAGUUGCUUUAUAAAAUUCUGUAGGUAUUUAUCAAGUCUUUAGAUACGUACGUCACGGGCUUUUAAACCAGUAUAUUGUGCACCGUAAAUGUCAUCCGCCUUCUAGCAAAAUACAUAUAUUUGUUACAGUACCUAGAGGUUUCCUUGUUAAAUGUAGUCUGUUUAUUCUUGCCUAGAUAUUGAUGUAUCUUUUAGGAAGGCAAUGUAUGUAUCUUGCAAGAAUACAACAUAUUCAUGAAGUGUCGU